UGUACCUUUAGUAAUCAAGCUAUACAUCAAUAUUUAAAAGCAGAAUCAUUGAUUCAACCCUAUAUGAGGUCGAUCAGAGAAUAAAAACGAAAUACCUGCGAUGUUACAUAGAUCUGCAAGCAUCCAGGCUGUCCUUCAAUUGUCCUCAAUCUCAAAUCGAGACGAUUGGUGUUGAUCUAAACCAUGAUACAAUUGGACUUUUACCGUGUAUCAAUCCAAGGCUUUACCUGGCAUCUAUAGGUAGCGAGAACAUAGUUUCCCGAUUUAUGAUCACAUGCGGAUAAACUAGCAACGGCACUGUUACUCUCAACAUCAAGUAAAUCCACAGGAGUAUCAGAUUGAAGUAGUAUGUUAUCAAUGGACGUUUCUAAUUCAAUGGAUAAAGUGUAGGACGCAUUUUCCUUAUUGAUAAGCAUCCUGUGUGUAUAAGAAGAAAAUCGAGCACAUUUUGUCAUCAGUCCGAUAUCCUGGUCCACCUCUAACAAACCUGGUGGCUUUGUCGUCAGACCGAAUAUUCGCCCAGAAUAUGUGGUCGCUAAAACUUCUGGAUAACCCACAGCUCCAACUAUACCUCCUACUACCGUACUGACACUUUCGCCACAAUUCUGUAAUAUUACAAAGAACAAAUCGCAUUGUGUCGUUGUGUGUGUAAUACUUCAAUUUUUUUACAAGCCGUUUUACAACUUACAUGCCGAAAUCUUAAUACAGGUGUGGUAUCAUCCUCUUCAGGAAAUGCAAAUACUUCUAUAACUCCAUUCUGUCUACCGACAAGAAUAUCUACACCAUCCUGCAAUUCAUAAGUGUCUAGAGAUGUGAUUUCUGCUCCAUUAUUGCUAAGCAGCCAGGUUACUCUCAGAGUUUUAUCCCUUUGAAGUGCAAGAACAGCAACAACAGCGGAACCUUCGCCUGGUAACAGUAGAACAUCUAUUACUCUCUCUCCAACCAAGUACGCGUCUGCAUCCCUACAAUCGUGAUAUCGGUGGUACAAAUCCUUAGCACAUGCUGAUAGAUCUGGUCCCAGAACGCACCUGGCAAUAGAAAAAACUAGUCUAAACAAUUAUCCAGUGUCAUUAUUGUAGAAAAACUUAUCU
rnacentral:lncRNA from 1 species